GGAAGACCCUGAUUUAUCAUGGGACACAUCAGUCUAUCAUCAUGAUAUGGUGGUCCUGCCUGUCAGCAAAAUCUGGACUCCUGAACUCCAUGUGACUAAUGGAGUGCAAACAACGAUAAAGCACAGCAACAAGGAUUUACUGGUGCACAGCAACGGGACUAUAGAGCACAUGGUCAUCAUGAACACUGUGGUGGGCUGUGAGGUCAAUCUGUACAAUUACCCCUUCGCUUCAGAUUUCUGCCCCAUCGCCAUCAAUGUAUGGGCACUUAAAGGAUGUGGCAUGUUCCUGAACUUUGGGAAUGUGAGCACAACUAGUGCAAACCGUGGAGACUGGCUAACCGAGAACGUGAAACUCGAUGCGAAAGGAGGCAGAGAUGAUCGCAACUAUCUAUGGGUGUCGCUGAAAAUGCGGUCUGAAAACCCGUUUCUGUCCCUGGUCCUGCCCAGUAUACUGAUCAUUGUGGCAGAUGUGGUGAGCUUCUCCCUGCCACUGGGAGGGGCGAGCGUAUCUCAUUCAAGGUUACACUGGUUCUCAGCUUCAUCAUGUUCCUCAUCAUCCUCAACGACCUACUGCCUGGAGGAGGCCAGUGCAGCCCCAUCAUCCGAAAGCACUUCUGUUUCUGUUUGGUCAUCCUGGUGUUGAGCACGUUGCAGUCUAUGGUGCUCACACGCCUGGCUAAGUGUGGCACUCUCUGGCCCUGCAGCCUCUCCAAGUCCAAAGACUCACUACUUAAAGACACAGACAAUGAAGAGGAAUCCAAGUCUGAUAUUAAAGCCUCAGCGGAAGAGAAGAAUACAGCCCUCCAGAAGGUGGUGAAGUUUCUCAACAAAAUGGCUGCACAAGACCAGAAAAAUGCUAUACACCAUCGCUUUGCCAACAAAGUGGACUUGAUCUGUUUCUGUAUCUAUCUCACCAUUCUCAUUGUUUAUGCAGUCGUCAUUUUAUAUUUCUCCUUUGGUUCUCAAUGUAAGAUCAACCAAUUAGAUUUCUGGUCAUAAAUUCUUUAUUCGCUUUUAACAACCAUUUUAAAAAAUAUUGGUGUAUUUGGGUCUUCAGAAGUUUUGCAAGCACAAACAAAAAGCUAGUUGUUUUGCAUUUCUGGGUAAAAUAACUAGAUGUGUUUAUUCUGAAGUAGGGCUUUAACAAUAUUUAUUUAAACAUGUUUAGAACUAGCCAGUCAUAUGUGUAAUAAUACAUUUAGCAAUUAGGGCUCUAAUGAAUACAUGUAAUGGGGACUGUAGUGCUAUAAUCCCCCAGAAUAGAGGCCUAGAACUCUAAUGAAUACAUGUAAUGGGGACUGUAGUAAUAUAAUCCCCCAGAAUAGAGGCCUAGAACUCUAAUGAAUACAUGUAAUGGGGACUGUAGUGCUAUAAUCCCCCAGAAUAGAGGCCUAGAACUCUAAUGAAUACAUGUAAUGGGGACUGUAGUGCUAUAAUCCCCCAGAAUAGAGGCCUAGAACUCUAAUGAAUACAUGUAAUGGAGACUGUAGUGCUAUAAUCCCCCAGAAUAGAGGCCUAGAACUCUAAUGAAUACAUGUAAUGGGGACUGAAGUGCUAUAAUUCCCCCAGAAUAGAGGCCUAGAACUCUAAUGAAUACAUGUAAUGGGGACUGUAGUGAUAUAAUCCCCCAGAAUAGAGGCUUAGAACUCUAAUGAAUACAUGUAAUGGGGACUGAAGCUGUAGUAUUAGUAGUGUGGAAACAAAUUAAUAGUGUGUUAUUUGCUAUAGAGGCAGUGUGAAGGCCUUAUAUUAUCUCCUAACUAAGCAGGUUCUCAACCUCAGGCUGAGAUAUCAAAUAGUCUCUCAAUCAUCUCCUCCACCUGCGCUGGGCUGUAUUUGUGGUAUCUCUCAGGGUGUUUGGAGAAAUCAUGGUCACAUCUGUGUAAAGUACAGGCAAAGGACCAUAAUGAAUAUCACUGUACCAGCGUUCUGUAUGAAAUUCUUACUGCACAUCAAUAUUGGACAGUGGUGAAUAAAAUAACCCAUGUCUUGUACCAAACAUACAUGGGACAUCCCAG
ensembl:lncRNA